CUUACAUAUAUAUUGGAAGUUCAACUUUUGCCUAUAAUACUGCCUAGUAUUGUUUCUUAGAAUAAUUAUAAACUCUGUAUGCAAUGUUUUCCUUGCCCUCUUUCUUCAUUUUCAUUAGUCGCGCACUAAAAAUUUUCAGGUUUGCUGCCAUUGCCUCCCAUUUGACAGGAAGAAAAGAUGAUCAGACGGAGAUUAUCCGGAACUCACAUCUGAAGGAACUGGUUCUCAAAUAUUAGUCACAAUCGCCGAGAUCAGUGGUGGAGCUAGGAUUGUCGUUGAUCUAGUUAAAGCAAUGUUUUUUGAAUCCCCUUGAGUCAAGGGGAUUCAACAACUUUUAUAUAUCUUGAAAGACUAAUUUUUAUCCUAUUUGUAAAGUAUAGGAUUCAAUUGAACCCCCUUCCUUCAAGCUAGCUCAGCCCUUGCUCAGGAUAGUCAGCAAGUUCCCCUUCACAUGAAACUUGAAUCUGUGAUCAUUGAUCAUACCUUUACUGAACCCUUGAAGACUCUCAAGCCUCAGUUCUUCUAACAGUGCUGACAAUGAAAGUUCUGAAGAGCCAACAAAACAUAUGACUGUUAAUUCAGAUACCUAAAGAGUUGCAUGCUUUGGGUGAUUCCUCUAUUGUCUCAUGUUCUGCUGAUACAGGAAUUCGACAAGACUUAACCUGAAGGGACGCUAAGAGGCAAGUAAUCGAGACACUGGAGCGCUUGGACUUUCGUGAGUCGCACAGCACUGCAUCAAUUGCCUUGGUGAAACAUGAUUACUGUAGUUGUUUCUGUAGGGCAAAAAGGAAUGGCCAAAUGUGCAAAUGACAUAACCAAGUGAAGCAACUGGGGAUAAACUUUCAAUUUCCUAGAGACAAUUCUCUCAUAAAGAGCAAUCAAUACUUCUGUAAUCAACAAUAUGUUCAUUCUGAGCAAGACUGUCAAAUUUGCUACUAUACUGUAACUUUUAUUGAUUAUUUGUUGUUUAAUUUGGAAUAACUAGUGUGUUAUUUGCAGUCGACGUGAUUCAUAAAACUAUCUUUCCUUCCACAAGCUAAACCAAUUCAUGUAUAUUAGUCCUUAGUACAUCAGAAUCACAAUAUGUAUGAGAAAUCAGCAUACUAAAUACAUACUUGUUUUCCGCUUUUGAUU